rnacentral:lncRNA from 1 species
UGCAUAUUUGGGGAUAGAAUUGCCAGUCUGCAAAUGGACAGUUAUCUCUAUAUAAAAUGUGUUAAUCAUAGUUUUUCAAAUUGAGGACAUUAUGUUGCAUUUACUUAAUGCCCUCUAUUCAUAGAUCCAUAUUUUUAGUUUUUAUUAUUUUAUUAGGUGUUUUUAGCCAAUAAACAAAAAACCUUCAAGUCUAUGAAAUGGCCUUGGUCCUUGGGAACUCUAAUCCAAUGUUUCAUCAUGUUCAUUGAGAAACAGAGAAGUUACACUUUUCUCUGCAAUUCAUGCAAACACUUGAGUAGCAGUCUGAUUCGCAAGCAACUGAGUUUAGCAAAGAAUAAAUGACAAGAAACCUGCUCAUAUUACAUGAUGUGGCAUACAUGAUUCUAUGACUUCUUUGUCCCUAAAUAAUUGGAGUCGAGUCAAAAGAGAUAAUGCAUGUGAAAGCAUUUUGAAAACUGAAAGUUUUCAUUGUAAUGGAUCAUUAUUAUUCUAAUUACUACUAAUAUGAAGAACCUAAUAUAGCAUGAACCAAUUAUCAGGAUAAGAAUAUUUCUGAAGUUGUGAACAUUUGGUACCCAUUUGGUAUUUAGUUUUAUACUGUUUUGCUUUGUUCCCUAAUUGUUUCAUGAAUUUUAAUCUUAUCCCUCUACCCCAAGGAAGUUAUAAGCAUCUAUCAGCAUUCAGUCAUUUGAUACCAUUGAUUAUUUAAAAUAAUUUACUGACUGCUUACCAUGUGCCAGGCAUAGAGCUGAGCACUACAGUCAAAUCAGUGAAUAAGAUGCUUUUCUUACCCUCCAUGAGCUUUCUUCCUGGUGGAGAAGAUGAUGAAGGGAUGGCUGGAAGGCAGGUUGUGAGGGCCCUGACAGGAAUUUCAGAGCAGGAAGGGUGUGCCAGGCCUGGAAGGCUGAGGCCACCGUUGGUUAAAAAAUGAGAGGAAAUCCCGACGGUAAAGUACCAUGUGGAAAGGCUCUGUAGUGUGUGUGUGUGUGUGUGUGUGUGUGUGUGUGUGUGUGUGUGUGUGUGUGUGUGUGUAAAAGCACAGACUAUAUUACUGUGGAACUGCAGUAAUUCAAUAUGGCAGAAAUAACAAGUUGGGAGGGGGCAUUGUUUGAGAUGAAACUGAAAAAAGUUUCAAUCAUCUAUUACCAUAUAACAAGACACCCCAACACUAUACACUAAAAACAAAAAGCCACUGAGUUGCUCAUGAUUCCUCAAUUGGGUCAGAGUCUGCAGGAAAUUUUAUCUCAGUUUCAGCUGGUAUUGGCCCAGGCUCUGUAGGCACAUAGCAUCACUUCUGUCACAUUCUCUUUGUCAAACAGGUUGUAGGUAAAGGGCGAGAAACUGCACAAGGACCAGGAUGCGUGUACAGGGACAGGAGGAACUGUUCAUGGCCCUGACUGCACACAGUCUAUAGAACUAUCGGUACACACUGCCAUGGAGAGCUUGGCUUUAUCUAGAAGUCUGUGGCGUAACCACUAAAGGAGAUUGUGAUGAAUGGAAAAAAGAGGUCAUCUAUUUUUAGAAAGCUGACUCCUGGAAGGCAUUUGGAGUUGUGGCUUGGAGAAGAUGGGGUGAGCAGCAGAGAGGCCAUUUAUGAGCUGGUGCUAUGCUAUGGGGAGAAUAAUGAUUGCUGAGACUAGAAUGAUGGCCACUGGAAGGGCAGGGGGACAAGGGAGAGAUUCAUUCAUUCACUGAACGUUAUGCGAACAUUAUUUGAAUGACUACUCUAUGCAGGAGUGCUGAGAUUGCAGCCAGAGACAAAAAAAAAAAAAAACCCUCCAAAAAAUUAUCGCCCUCCUGGACCUGAGAUUCUAGUGGCAGAAACAGAAACAAGUCAAGGAUGUGAAAUACAUGUUUUAAAUGUGAAAAAAAUAUGUCAAAUGCAUGUUUUAAAGAAUAAAAGAGGGAAGAGAGAGGACAAAUUAAGGUCUGUGUGUUAAUUUUUGGUAAAGUACCCAGAGAUUGGUUUAUCGAAUAAGGAGUCAAAGGACAUGGGGCCCCUGGGGGGUGAACAUUCCAGGACAGUGGAAGAAGAAUUGGAAGGCCUUGCAUUAGUGUCCUGGGGCUAAGCAAUAGAAAUGUAUUGUCUCUCAAUUCCAGAGGCAAGAAGUCCGAGAUUCCGGUGUGUUUAGGGUUGGUUUCUUCCAAGAGCUGUAAGGAAAGGACCUAUUCCAGGCCUUUUUCUACCUUGCGGGGGUUUCCUGGCAAUCUUUGGCAUCUUUAACUUGUAGAUACCUCAUUCUGUCCCUUCAUCUUCACAAGGUAUUUUCUCUGUGUGUGUGUGUGUGUGUGUGUGUGUGUGUGUGUGUGUGUGUGUGUUUUCCUGUGUCCAAAUGUCCCCUUUUAUAAAGACACCAGGCUUAUUGGAGUGGACCCACCAUAUGACCUCAUUUUAACUUGAUUAUCUCUGAAAAGAUCCUGUUUGCAAAUAGAGUCACAGUCAGAGGUGCUGGCGGUUAAGAUUCCAACAUAUCUUUUUGGAGGAGAUAUAAGUCAACCCAUAGCAGGCCUUGAAGCAUGAGUAGGUUGGGCAGAGGAACUCAGAGGAGACCACGUGCCUGAAGGAAAGUGAGCAGAGGAAAGAUCUUAGAGGAUGAGAUCAGAGAGGUAAUGGGGCCCAGAUCAGGACAGGCCUUAAGGUUUUAGGAAGAAUGUCAGCUUUUCCUCUGUGUGAAGUGGGAAGCUAUUCAAGUAAUGGAGCAAGGGAACAACAUAUCCUGCCUUACAUUUUUCUAGGUUUGCUACAGCUACUGUGAAAGGGGCAAGGAAAAGACACUAUUAGACACUGUUAAAAGAUGACUCAGUAAUCUGAAGGGUUGAGAUAAUGGUUGUGGGACCAGAGGAACAGCAGUCUGAGAAGUGGUCAUGUUCCGGAUCUAAGGAUUCGCUGAGGAAGCAGGAAGGGCUAGGUAUCAAGGAUGAUUGUAAGCUCUGGAGCUUGAGUGAUGGAUGGAUGGUGUUGUCCUAAACUCCAGGUUUAGGAUUCUACAUCAAGAGCUCAGUUGUAGACAUGUGAAGUUGGAGAUGCUGCUUGGAUAUCCAGAUGGAGAUGUCAGGCAUACCACUGCAUAUGCAAAUCUGUAUCUCCAGAAAGUUUAGACUGGAGGUAGAAAUUUGGAAGUCAUCAGUACAUGAAUUGUAUUUUUAAAACACACAACAUGCGGUAAAUGACACUCUGAGGUGUUUUGUUUGUUUGUUUGUUUGUUUUUUGGCUGCCCCACAGCAUGUGGAGUUCCUGGGCCAGGGAUCAGAUCCAAGCUGUAGUUGUGACCUACAAUGUGGCUGUGACAACACCGGAUUCUUAAUCCACUGUGCUGGGCUGGGGAUCAAACCUGCAUCCCUGGGCUGUAGAGAUACCCACCAAUCCCACCGAGCCACAAGGGGAACUGCCCUCUGUGAGUUUUCCAUGCAAAAUCAGAAUCAUAACCCUUCCCUCACACCAUUACAGUGAAAAUCAACUGAAAUCUAAACAUGAGGGUUUAGUAUAAAGGGCUUCAAUAAAGGCUCAUGAUGUGAGCUGCGAUUUAAAUUAGUGAAACCUUGGCAACUGCCCUCUGAAUUUUUGUCACUUGCCGCUCCCUCCCAAUGGCUGGGUUUGAUUCCUAAGUACCUUGAACUAUAAUGUGCAUAUUUCCUAAGGAAAGCCCCUGCCUUCUGCAGGUGGCUAUAGCAGGCUCGUAAUCCUUCCCCAUCCAGGGUUUAGAAGUGGUUCAGAGAAAGUCUUCAGCGGCGGGCGGAGGGUUAAUCCUGCGCCAGUGGGGAUGUGCAGACCAGGAGCCGGUCUAAAUCUCAAUACGGCGUGCUGCCUUAGGGAUCAUCAUGUACUAAAGCCCAAGAUAAAAAGGCCUGACAAAGAUUAUUGACGGUUUACCUUUUAAUGAGCAGCUGGGAUUGAUUCUGACCCCCUCUGGGAUGGCUUUCUCUGUCCUUCCUCCACCCAAGAGGCCAUGGGGAACGACAACAACAACAAAAUACAGAGCUCCGAUUUGAAUAAUUGCAAGGAUUUGCUUUCUAGCAAAUAAAGUUUCCAUGCGUAAGACAUGGCUCGCCUCUUUAAAAAUAUAUGUGUAAAUAUAUAUAUGAUUGUUAUGAUUCACAUGAUUAUUAUUAAGCACUUCUGAUGCACUGGAUUAUUUUCAAAGAGGCUGGUUGUCUCUAAUUGGAUAUUGUUGGCAAUUUUCCUCUGGGUAGGUCAGCAGUGUUAACUCUUAAUCAUCCAAGGCAAUUAAAUGCACAUGGUUCUAACCUAUGUUCCUAAGGCUGCUGACUCGUUAAUGUAGUUAUAAUGGUAGAGGCAGGUGUUGACGUGCUAUUCAGGAAGAAGUGGUAGUGUGAGCUCUUGCACAUCUGUUUUGAGAAAGGGAAAUCAUGCCUCUGCAAAUGGCAAUGGACAACAGUCAUGGAGAUACUAACCUGCAGGUACUUACCAGUAUGCACGUUGGACCUAAUUCCUCCCUUUGCAUGGAGCCAGAGCUCCAUCUGAGCCUCUGCAUACUUUGCUGAGCUUAGAAUGUGGCAUUAGGUCACCGUUGGGGCGGAAACGAUGGUUACUGGAAGUAGUCGUGAAUAGGAAGAGCCAUAGAGGAAAAAGAGGAAUUUUGAGAUCUUUGAGACAAUUUGAAUAUGUUGUGAUCCUCAGAAAACCAACAAUUAAGUUGGUUUUGACUUUACAGCCUUGAAUCUCCCACCAUACCUGAUCCAUUGUAGACAUGGGAUGGGGAUAUCUGUAAUAAUGUUGUUUUGACCUUCCAUGACCUCAAACCAACUAGGAUGGUGGUUUUAGACACUGGGACCCACCUAAGAAAUACAGUUUACAUUUUGACUCAGUACAUGUACAUGUAACCAAAUCAAAAUUUCAUAGAACAAGAAAGUUCCCAUUGUGGCUCAGUGGUAACAACCAGACUGGUAUCUAUGAGGAUGCGAGUUCAAUCACUGGCCUUGUUCAGUGGGUUAAGGAUCUGAUGUUGCCAUGAGCUGUGGUAUAGGUUGUAGACACAGCUCAGAUCCAGCAUUGCUGUGUCUGUGGAGUAGGCCAGCAGCUGCAGCUCUGAUUUGACCCCUAGCCUGGGAACAUCCAUAUGCCAUGGGUUCAGCCCUAAAAAG